GGUGAGCUAAGCAUGUAGGGCCGGGCAUGGAGUGCCUUCGGACGGGGGUUCAACUCCCCCCACCUCCACCA
rnacentral:tRNA from 1 species